rnacentral:rRNA from 1 species
GACGAACGCUGGCGGCGUGCUUAACACGUGCAAGUCGAACGGAAAGGCCCUGCUUUUGUGGGGUGCUCGAGUGGCGAACGGGUGAGUAACACGUGAGUAACCUGCCCUUGACUUUGGGAUAACUUCAGGAAACUGGGGCUAAUACCGGAUAGGAGCUCCUGCUGCAUGGUGGGGGUUGGAAAGUUUCGGCGGUUGGGGGUGGACUCGCGGCUUAUCAGCUUGUUGGUGGGGUAGUGGCUUACCAAGGCUUUGACGGGUAGCCGGCCUGAGAGGGUGACCGGCCACAUUGGGACUGAGAUACGGCCCAGACUCCAACGGGAGGCAGCAGUGGGGAAUAUUGCACAAUGGGCGGAAGCCUGAUGCAGCAACGCCGCGUGCGGGAUGACGGCCUUCGGGUUGUAAACCGCUUUCGCCUGUGACGAAGCGUGAGUGACGGUAAUGGGUAAAGAAGCACCGGCUAACUACGUG